UUUGAUUCACCCUCUUCUCAAUCGGAAUUGAGUUUAUCCCGUUUUGAUUAACCAUGUAUUCUUCAUCCUUUAUUAUAUUCAUAAAGCAAACAAUCGACGGAUUCAAGCUUCGAAACGCGGGAGAUGAAUAUAUAUGUUGCUUACAUGGAACACUUACUACAUGAAGAUAAGGACCUAACUACUGAAAACCUUCAUGAUAGUGCAUGAUGCAUAUAUGGAACACUUACUACACGAAAAUACUAAUUUCCUUACGAGUUCAUAUUGAGAUUGAUAAAGCAAACAAUCGACAGAUUCAAGCGUGGAAACGCUUGAGAUGAAUAUAUUUAAUCUUUUAUAGAGGUGGUAAAAUUGAUUGGCUAGGAUGGUUGAUUAAUGGGUCAACGAAUAAACGUCUUGGGAUAUGAUUGGAUGGUAAGUUAAGGC
rnacentral:lncRNA from 1 species